GCUAGCGUGGUGUAGUGGUUUGAGUGUUGGACUAUAACUCUGAAGACCAGAGUUCAAAUCCUGGCUUAGCA
rnacentral:tRNA from 1 species